CACCAGAUGUUAGGAGUUGUAUGUUGUAUUUAUAAAGAAUAUUACCGAGGCUGCUGUUUCCAGUUGGGUAAAGCACCAGGUUUGUGGAUCAUCCAUCUUGAACCUAGAAUAAUUAAAUCCAUACGCUUGAGAGAAAAGGAAGCUUUGAGGAAUGAUUCGUUCAAACUUUAGGGAUGCAAAGGCAUGGGCAGAGGAAGGACUUGUUUUAUCAACCAGCAAUGACCAGGCAUGUAAGCUGUUUGAUGCAGCUCUUACUCAG